ensembl:snoRNA small nucleolar RNA SNORA9
GUGCAGGUCAAUCCAGCAAGGCAGAACCGAUGGUGGCCCUGUCCUUUCCUGUGAAGCCUGCUAGAAUCAUGUGAGGUGGUUUGAGGCCCUGCCGUGCUCUCUCCAUGGCAAGGCUAUAGAGACCUCCGACACUC